rnacentral:misc_RNA from 1 species
UCCUAGUUAACCUAGGCAGUCUCAUUAGAGUCCCCACCUUACGUGUUGGCAACUAAUGAUAAGGGUUGCGCUCGUUGCGGGACUUAACCCAACACCUCACGGCACGAGCUGACGACAGCCAUGCAGCACCUAUACAGCAGUCCUUACGGAAGACGCCGUUUCUGGCGCUGUCCACUGUAUUUCGAGCCUGGGUAAGGUUCUUCGCGUUGCAUCGAAUUAAACCACAUGCUCCACUGCUUGUGCGGGCCCCCGUCAAUUCUUUUGAGUUUCACACUUGCGAGCGUACUCCUCAGGCGGUAUACUUAUCGCGUUAGCUUCGACACAGUCAGGGUUGAGCCUAACUACAUCAAGUAUACAUCGUUUACGGCAAGGACUAC